rnacentral:misc_RNA from 1 species
AACGCACAUUGCGCCCUUUGGUAUUCCGAGGGGCAUGCCUGUUCGAGCGUCAUUUCAACCCCUCAAGCUUAGCUUGGUGUUGGGCUGCGCCAGCGUUGCUGGCGGGCCUUAAAAUCAGUGGCGGUGCCGUUUGGGCUCCAAGCGUAGUAGCAUCUCUCGCUCUGGAGACCCGGCGGUUGCUUGCCAGACAACCACUAAAAAAACAAAGGUUUGACCUCGGAUCAGGUAGGGAUACCCGCUGAACUUAA